UACCUCCCCUCUUAGUGACUAUAAUUGAUGUUUGAAUCGCCUAAGUGAUAACGUCACCUUGGCCUGAGCCAACUAGGGAUACCCCCACUUAGUGCCCGCCCUCAAGGGCAAGCGCCGCCCCAUAUAUCCUCCACGUCCAAUGGUGGGGAAUCCAAGUUUAUCACCAUUAGAGCUAGGGUAAAUGCAACCCUACGCCUUAUCAGUGGCCUCUUCUCUCCCUCCUCGUCGUCGCUCGAAGGAAACUGCGCCCUGGGGCAUAUGGUCCCUAAAGGUUCUUCGGCCCGAGGUGAAGAUCCUGUUGGGGAAUGAGUCGUCGAGGAUUCAACCGAAGUCGCCCUCGGAACUGGAUGUGGCGCUAGCAUUUUCACAAGUCGUACAGUCGCGCCUGGUCUGCGAAAGGCCAGUUGAGAGCCCUCACGCGGCGUUGCCCUCCCUGAUCAAAGAAAAAACCAAGUUGAGAAGAGGCGAAGAAGAACAAAAUAAAGAUAACAGAAAGCUAAAACGCUCACCAUAGGUAGAUGUGCGACCAUGCCUUUCCCAAAAAUAUAGCCACAUGCGAAUCCCGGCUGUGUGAGGGAGCAUGACCUCAACCCAUUUCCGGAUACCAGGCAGUGGGACCAUCGGCGGUCGUUCAGCUACAUAUAAGAGAUAAAACACUUAUCAGAACAGGAUAAAAAAAGAGGAAGAGGAGUGACGGAAUGGAGAACCUGACGAAUAAAAUGAGUUACGUGCAUGGUUCCACGACUCUGGAACCCAGUGGCACAUGCCACCAGGUGUUCAGUUCUGAUGUAAAAGAAGUGCUCACAAGUGUGCAGCUUGACCGCAUCAUCUAACUCAGCAGUCAAGCCCCUCGACCAACGAGGAAUGGCCUGAAUAAUGGUACCACGGACCCUCUGGGGAGCGUGGAGGGUCAGCACGUUCUGCAAUGUAAUCUCCCUUCAGGCCAGCUCUGCAUAUUUAAGGAGCAAAGUAAAGAGCUUAUAAAGGGAGGGGAAGAGCUGGCCAGGACACACUCCAUAAUGAUGGCAAAAAUCCACUUCCAGCAUCAGAAAGGGGAUCCUAAAUCCCAAUCUAAUGGGAUAAGCGUAGAAAACGCAAUAUCCCCUAUGGUCAAUGUGGACCCUCUCCUCACGUCUAGCAAGGGAGAUAUCACCAUAACGGGGAAUACCCCACAGCUCCCGUAGUUGACCAAUCCCCACUUCUCCAAUUAGUGGGAAUUCGUUCACCUGAUCUUCACCUUCAUCAGCGGUGAAGUCAACCGCCAGACCUUUGGGUAGGGACAGGAUAUCAGCAACCAACGGAACCCCAUUGGCCCCUACCGGUUCUACACCUCUUAAGACCAAUGAAGGCUCUCCGCCACGAUGGGGUUCACCGAAAAUCUCGCCUGAGCAGCGUUUAUGGAGGAAAUGCUUGCCAUUUUUUGAUAAAAGAGAUCGAAAAGAAGUAAAAAUAAACAAAGGAAGACGAAGAUUACAACAACAAAAGAGUAAGAAUAACACUGAACUAAGUAAGCGAGGAAAGUUCUUCAGAUAUUUCUCUUAAGCAAAUUACGAAAAGUGAGAAACGAAUGCCUCAAGUCCUUAUUUAUAAGCGACACAAGUGGCUCUCAUGAAUUCCAAAGGUCAUCAUUAAUUGCUUGACCAACCGCAAAAUGGUCCGACAAUACAGAAACGUGCGUUAUAAUAACCGAACUCCAUGAAGCGAUUUUUCAGUCGCCAACUGGCGCUUCGCCUUCGAAACAACUACAAUGAUCUGAGAACGCUCCAGAUAACAUCCUGCGUACCUCCAAAACUUUGGACGUCCCCAAAACAUAUGAUAUGCUUACACUCCCCCUGCCCACUAUAUUUAAAUGACAUCGACACCAUACAGAGAUAAAGGUCGUCGACAAAAUAAUCACGUCUAUCUCCAAAGAACAAAAGGCUACGGCCACCCCCACAGUAUAUAUAGUUACGACCACCCCCUCAUAUGCAUAAGUAGCUACAGUCAUUCCUACCUAUACGCGGGUACGACCCUCUCCCAAUAAUGAGCAUUUAAGAUCUUCGACAAACGUGCAACCAAGGUCACCAACUCGAUUCCAUCACGGCUAAGGUCGUUCAGCACUAUAAGGCUAUGGCCAUCUCCAGUAUAUAAACGGCUAAGGGCGCCCACACAAUUAAGGCCACGGCCAUCUCCAAUGAAUAGAUGGCCACGGCCAUCCUCAACAUGUAUGUAAAUAACUCGACCACGGUCAAAGUCACCUGCACGGUCAACGCCAUCAAUGCAAGAUGGCUAAGGCCAUUGAUUUUAAUUGCAUUGUGCCCCACAUAAAAACGACUAUGGUUAUUAUUGACCUUGACCGAAACCGCAUCCGGAGAGGUCCACUCAUCGAGCGGGGUCAAGGCACGACCUCGAUAAGUGGAGAGACUAACUGUAUGGGUCAGAAUAUGACCCCGAGAUAAUUAACGAGAUUAACUAUGUCCUAAGCUAAUUCGUAAAUUAAUAAAUGAUAUGGCCAUUUAUUAAUCGCGAUAUCUGAUCAUCGGCUGAAUCAAUUAUUAGGGCUAUGGCCUAUCCUCCAUCAUCGAGACGGAGCCUCAGAAUAAUCACGGCCACAAUUGCCAGCUCACCCAUUUCGCAUCUAUAAAUACUAAGAGAAC
rnacentral:lncRNA from 1 species